ACACACUGCAUACACUAACACAACACACACACACUGCAUACACUAACACAACACACACUCUGCAUCCGCUACACUAACACACACUCUGCAUCCGCUACACUAACACACACUCUGCAUCCGCUACACGCUAACACACUCUCUGCAUUCACUACACUAACACACACUUUGCAUCGGCUACACAUUAACACACACUUUGCAUUCACUACACAUUAACACACACUCUGCAUUCACUACAAAUUUACACACACUCUGCAUUCACUGCACUAACACACACACUACAUUCAUUACACUGACACACUCUGCAUUCACUAUACUGACACACACUCUGCAUUCACUACACUAACAUACACUCUGCAUUAACUGUACACACAGCAUCCACUACACAAACAUCCUGUAUUCACAGUACACACACUACAUCCACCACAAAUUGAAACACUCUGCAUUCACUAUACACAGACACUGCGUCUAAUACACACACUACAUCCACUACAGACACUGCAUACACUAAACACAUUUCAUCUAGUACAUACAAACACUACAUCCACUACACAAACACACACUACAUCACUGUACACACACUACAUCCACUACUCAAAUACACUCUGCGUUCAAUAUGCACACUGCAUCCGCUUCACAAACACACACUCUGCAUUCAUUGCACAAACAGUAUCUAAUACACACAAACACUACAUCCAUUACACACAUUCUAAUUCACGUCCACUAUACACACCACAUUCAGUCCUGCAUCAUUGUGAGCGGACUAGGUAGGGCGUGGGCGGGCCCGGGAGGGAGUGGGGGCAGACCUUGUGCUUUGUCAUGGGCCCCAAAAUUUCUGAUGGCGGCCCUGAGUGCAGCCACACUUAUUAUAUAUCAUUUUACUCAGGAAAAACAAGGCUUUUAUUUAACAUCAAAUAUUUAGCUAUGAAACAUUAUUUAAUAUGAAUAAAAUUUAAAAGAUUUGAGAAAUUAAGAGAGUUAUUUUUUUAGUUCUGCGUGAUAUUUUAACUGUUCAUGUCAAAAUACUUUUUGCUUUUACUGCAAUAAAAUACACAUAUUUGUAUUCAGCGAUGUCUCACGUGUAAAACAUUACCCCCUAUGUGCAGGUUUUAUGGUGUUUUGGGAAGUUACAGGGUCAAAUAUAGCACGUUAAGUUUUUCAGUUUUUCACAUUGAAAUUUGACAGAUUGGUUACGUUGCCUUUGAGAGCGUAUGGUAGCCCAGGAAUGAGAAUUACCCCCAUGAUGGCAUACCAUUUGCAAAAGUAGACAACCCAAGGUAUUGCAAAUGGGGUAUGUCCAGUCUUUUUUGGUAGCCACUUGGUCACAAACACUGGCCAAAGUUAGAGUUCAUAUUGGUUUGUGUGUGAAAAAUGCAAAAAACUAAUUACAGUGCUGGCAAAUUAAGCUCUCUGGACUUUCUGUCUGGGUUAUCAGGCAGGUCCCCCAAAUUGUAAUGAAUAAAAUGACUUAAUUAUGUAAAAAU